GGGUCUUACUAUGACAAGAUUUGCUAGUAUGUGUUGGUAUUGUCAACAAUAUCUGUGGAAGGUCAGAUGGCUCCAUAGUGCUUUUAUAGGGAAGAUAAAGUGCUCUUUGAAGAAAACUCGGAAUCGUUUUCAUAUAAAACCAAAAGAAAACUUUAGAAAUUGGUAUAAUGAUGUCUCUGCUGGAUCAAGUGCCUUGUAGAGUCAUCAUAAGGGUUCCGGUUACUUUCAGGGGACGCUGAACCAGGCUGUUGUAUAUACUUUGGAGCUGUGGCCAUCUCUCUCAGCUUGUACAAUAUCAAGCGUAAUGUGACACAACAGUGAUAAGUACUACUGGACUCUACUAUGGUAUAAAUAUGGGGAAGAACAAUAAAGGACUCCCUGACAAUUUCAGGAUGCUGGACAGGACGACGGUGUCAGCUACAGCCCUGCUUCCCAUCUGUCUUUGUGGAAGGGCAGCCAGAACUGUGAUGUCUGCCCAUGUCAAACCAGCCAAGUUGUGUACUGUCUGUAUGGCUUGAUCCAAGAAAUCCUGGGAAUUCUCUAUGGUGGAAAUCAGAGGUUAAUGUUGGGAUGAUUUGUUGAUUCUUUCCAUGUGGGUCAUGCUUCAUAUUUUUCUGUGUUUACAAAGAACUGAAAUGUGGUCUAACUCCAUCAGGACACUGGAUAAACUGACCAGUUUCAACAAGGUAGAUAAAAAUAUCCAGGCACGGUGUGAUCAUGUGUUUACUUCUGUUUAGUAACUAACUUGUGUGUUCUUCCUUCACUUGUGCAAUGCUUGUGGUUUUGUUGAUAGAGCAAAUAAAGGGCAAUGUUGUUGG